GAUGAACGCUGGCGGCGCGCCUAACACAUGCAAGUCGAGCGAAGCACUUUGCUUAGAUUCUUCGGAUGAAGAGGAUUGUGACUGAGCGGCGGACGGGUGAGUAACGCGUGGGUAACCUGCCUCAUACAGGGGGAUAACAGUUAGACAUGACUGCUAAUACCGCAUAAGACCACAGCACCGCAUGGUGCGGGGGUAAAAACUCCGGUGGUAUGAGAUGGACCCGCGUCUGAUUAGCUAGUUGGUAAGGUAACGGCUUACCAAGGCGACGAUCAGUAGCCGACCUGAGAGGGUGACCGGCCACAUUGGGACUGAGACACGGCCCAAACUCCUACGGGAGGCAGCAGUGGGGAAUAUUGCACAAUGGGGGAAACCCUGAUGCAGCGACGCCGCGUGAGCGAAGAAGUAUUUCGGUAUGUAAAGCUCUAUCAGCAGGGAAGAAAAUGACGGUACCUGACUAAGAAGCACCGGCUAAAUACGUGCCAGCAGCCGCGGUAAUACGUAUGGUGCAAGCGUUAUCCGGAUUUACUGGGUGUAAAGGGAGCGUAGACGGAUGGGCAAGUCUGAUGUGAAAACCCGGGGCUCAACCCCGGGACUGCAUUGGAAACUGUUCAUCUAGAGUGCCGGAGAGGUAAGUGGAAUUCCUAGUGUAGCGGUGAAAUGCGUAGAUAUUAGGAGGAACACCAGUGGCGAAGGCGGCUUACUGGACAGUAACUGACGUUGAGGCUCGAAAGCGUGGGGAGCAAACAGG
rnacentral:rRNA from 1 species